rnacentral:rRNA from 1 species
GAUGAACGCUGGCGGCGUGCCUAAUACAUGCAAGUCGAGCGAACGGACGAGAAUCUUGCUUCUCUUAUGUUAGCGGCGGACGGGUGAGUAACACGUGGAUAACCUUCCUAUAAGACUGGGAUAACUUCGGGAACCCGGAGCUCAUACCAGAUCAUAUUUUGAACCUCAUGGUUCAAAAGUAAAAUACUGUCUUUCUGUCGCUUAUAGGUGGAUCCGCGCUUCAUUGGCUAGUUGUCAAGGUAACGGCUUACCAAGGCAACGAUGCAUAGCCGAACUGAGAGGCUGAUCGCCCACACUGGAACGUAGACACCGUCCAUAGUACUACGGGAGGGAGCAGUAGGGAACCUUACGCAACGGGCGAAAGCCUGACGGAGCAACGCCGAGUGAGUGAUGAAGGUCUUCGGAUCGUAAAACUCUGUUAUUAGGGAAGAACAUAUGUGUAAGGAAAUGUACACAUAUUGACGGUACCUAAACAGAAAGCAACGGCUAACUACGUG